GGUUUUAUGGCCCUCACCUGCUUUCUGUUGGCAUGCGUUGCCUCAUUUUCGUUUGUUUGGUGUGGCGUGGUGUCCGGUUUCCCCGUGGCUUCUUUUUCCUUGUUGGAUGUUUGCUUGUCUUAAGGUGACGGGCAGCCUUAUAGAUGAUCCGUAAUAUAGCACCCCUCGGUGACGGAACGAGUUUUCACGGUGCACAAUGAAGUGGAAAUAAAGAGUUGAAGCACCUGUCGAGACUCCCGUUUAUUGACCCAGGGGCAGCUACAGUGAAAACUCGACCAUCGGAAGAGUAAGGCUUCAGCUAAGAAAAUCAACGUUAUUGCACAAGUAUUUGAUAACGGCGGUCCGGCCCAGUGUACGCCCCUUUCGCGCACCGGCGAGCUCAGCCAAUGGACGGUAUUUGUUACGCUUCUAGUUCAAGCGAACUGGGUAGCGAUACAUAAGAGACUGGUGAUAAAGCCUAUGAUUAAGUGCUUAAUGUUUAGGGUUUGAAUGUGUUUUAUAAUGUAUUCCUUUUCUCCUUUUUGGGGUUGAAGGGUAAAGUUAUAUUGAUUAAAAUAUUUGUAGUUUA